CGAGAGAGCAUCACACAGCAACCACAUCCCUCCCCUACAGAAGCCCCCAGAGCACAGCACCUCACCAUGGACUGGACCUGGAGGCUCCUUCUCUUGGUGGCAGCAGCUACAGGCGCUCACUCCGAGGUCCAGCUGGUGCAGUCUGGCGCUGAGGUGAGGAAGCCUGGGGCCACCGUGAAAAUCUCCUGCAAGGCUUCUGGAUACACCUUCACCGGCUACUACCUGCACUGGGUGCGACAGGCUCCUGGAAAAGGGCUUGAGUGGAUGGGACUUGUUGAUCCUGAAGAUGGUGAAGCAAACUACGCACAGAAGUUCCAGGGCAGAGUCACCAUGACCGCGGACACGUCCACAGACACAGCCUACAUGGAGCUGAGCAGCCUGAGAUCUGAGGACACGGCUGUGUAUUACUGUGCAAGACACACAGUGUGAAAACCACAUCCUGAGAGUGUCAGAAACCCUGAGGGAGGAGGCAGCUGUGCUGGGGCUGUGAAGAUGACAGGAUUUAUGAGGUCUAAAUUAUUUAGAAGA